ensembl:processed_transcript
CGGUGUCAUGAGAAAUCAAGUCGCCUUGAGAAUUGGGUCCGCCUGUAGGACCCUGAGUAAUCCUAUUGUUUCACUGCAGUUGUAAGAACUAUAGUUUGUAGCACCUGAUUAUAAAGAAUAGUACUAUAACUAUUAAUUCUGUGAAAUCACACUUUAAUUUAUAUAAUGUAUAAAGCUUUAUAAUGACCAUUUCAUUUCACCAUUAUAAUGACAUUUAUAAGCGUUAUACAGACCCUUUCAUAUACUGAUAUAUGAUUAAAGACUUGGGUAAUAAAAUUGAGCAUUUAUCUUAGUUAAGAAGCAUACUGUUUAUUUAGCUCAGUUAGCCUAUUGUACAUCUACUGUUAGCCUUCUAGCUACAGCAAGCUCUGAUUAGCCGCACAACAAGGUAUCAAAAUAAUAGCUUUUGAUCAAGCAUUCACCUCAGACCAUUCCUUGAGGUCCAGGGGGAACUCGAUU